CAGUAGCCGCGGUAAUACAGAGGGUGCGAGCGUUAAUCGGAUUUACUGGGCGUAAAGCGUGCGUAGGCGGCUUCUUAAGUCGGAUGUGAAAUCCCUGAGCUUAACUUAGGAAUUGCAGUCGAUACUGGGAAGCUAGAGUAUGGGAGAGGAUGGUAGAAUUCCAGGUGUAGCGGUGAAAUGCGUAGAGAUCUGGAGGAAUACCGAUGGCGAAGGCAGCCAUCUGGCCUAAUACUGACGCUGAGGUACGAAAGCAUGGGGAGCAAACAGGAUUAGAUACCCCAGUAGUCCCUGUCUCUUAUAC
rnacentral:rRNA from 1 species